GACGAACGCUGGCGGCAUGCUUAACACAUGCAAGUCGAACGGAAACGCCCUGGUUUUGUGCGGUCCUCGGGUUGCGACCGGGUGAGUAACACUUAAGUAUCCUGCCCUUGACUUUGGGUUAACUUCAGGCAACUGGGGCUCCUCCCGGAUAGGAGUUCCUGCUUCUUGGUGGGUGUUGGACCGUUUCGGCGGUUGGGGAUGGACUCGCGGCUUUUCAGCUUGUUGGAGGGGUAGUGGCUUACCAAUGCUUUGACGGGUAGCCUGCCUGAGAGGGUGACCAGACACAUUGCGACUGAGAUACGGCCCAGACUCCUACGGGAGGCAGCGGUGGGGAAGAGUGCACAAUGGGCGGAAGGCGGGUGCAGCAACGCCGCGUGCGGGAUGACAGCCUGCGGUUAGGAAACCACAAUCGCCUGUGACGAAGCGUGAGUGACGGUAACGGGUAAAGAAGCACCGGCUAACUACGUG
rnacentral:rRNA from 1 species